rnacentral:rRNA from 1 species
GACGGACGGUGCAAGCGUUGCUCGGAAUCACUGGGCGUAAAGGGUGCGUAGGCGGCUUGGUGGGUCUGGUGUGAAAGCCCCGGGCUCAGCCCGGGAAGGGCGCUAGAAACUGCCGAGCUCGAGUGCCGGAGGGGAGAGUGGAAUUCCUGGUGUAGCGGUGAAAUGCGUAGAUAUCAGGAAGAACACCCGUGGCUAAGGCGGGUCUCUAGGACGGUACUGACGCUGAGACGCGAAAGCGUGGGGAGCGAACAGG